AACGUAGGAGACAAACGUUAUCCGGAGUUACUGGGCGUAAAGGGCGUGUAGGUGGUAGAGUAAGUCUGGCGUGAAAUUUUUCGGCUUAACCGGGAAAGGUCGUCGGAUACUGCUUAACUAGAGGACGGUAGAGGCGUGUGGAAUUCCAGGUGUAGCGGUGAAAUGCGUAGAUAUCAGGAGGAACACCGGUGGUGUAGACGGCUCUCUGGGACGGUACUGACGCUGAGACGCGAAAGCGUGGGGAGCGAACAGG
rnacentral:rRNA from 1 species